rnacentral:lncRNA from 1 species
UUGUAAAGAAAAUUAAUUGGUGGGAAUGCAAAAACACAAAAUAAACAUGCAAAUGCAGUUGAUUCAAUUGACGAGAAAAAGACUAUGGAUGAAUGGAGUUGUUGGGGGUUUACAAUUUCAUCUUAUUUGCUCCCUCUUAUCUACUCCUCUUGUUUAAUUUGUUUUGUUAUCUAAUUGUUAUGCAAACUUUCUUGGCCUACCCUUAACCCGAUCCNUCGGCGAAAAGAGCCUAUUACUAAUUACUGGCUUGCUAUCCCUAGCCUCCCCUAACAAUUAAUAACGCGUUAAGAACAGAAGCAAAAACAAUUUAUCGUCCUACCCCCCUAUCCCUACGUGGUAUUGCUUAACCAAGGAGUUUCUCACUAGUUCAUCAUAGUACCGUACGUCCCCGUAUCAAUAAAGACAAACAAUAGUUAUCGAAUGAGUUAAACGAUAAAAGCUUUAAGCGCAAUGAGAACCAAACAGUUGAUAAUCAAAGCAUACGACAAGCAUAUAAAUAAACAAGAGUUUCAAUAAAAGAGAGUUUCAAAAGAUUACACUGUUUCCCCCAACAACAAAAGGGUUUAGUUCACCAUUGUCAUGGUGAACUUAGAUGAAAAAUGAUGGAAGAAUGGAAGAGCAAACCCUAGAUAGGAUAAAAAGGAGCCUAAGCAUCCAAGAGAUCUUCUCCAAGGAGUGAAAAUUAGGUCUGGCCGCCCUCUUCUGUCAAAAGAAUGACUCUCAAGUUGCAAUAGGGCUAUUUAUAGAUGAGGAGCGUCACAUAAAACAGGCCCAGGCCCAGCAGACAACCGCCC